CAUGUUUUAAUUUGCUUCUUUGAUAUUGUAAUGAUGAAUCACUAUUCACCAUCUUUCGACUGAAACUUUGUGAUGGUAUAUUUUUUUACCUGAUGCAUAAUUUCAGUAAGAAAAAUAGCGCCGCAUAAUUCGCUUCUCUAAGGAUUACAACUUUUGUUUAGGUUUUCGGUCGCUGCGGUCAUCGACUAGAAAUGCUGUGCAAUGCAGGUUUUCCCGUUCGACGAGGUCAAUGGGGAAGAAAGCUGUGAAUUACAGGUAUGCAAAAGUAGGAAAACACCGGGGACGUCAUUUUCGUUUCAAUUCUUACUACGAAGAUAUUGUUCAUAAAUUUUAGAAAUUUGAUGUGAUGACAAUAAAUAUGUUUU